rnacentral:tRNA from 1 species
GCCUGGCUGGCUCAGUCAGGGGAGCAUGUGACUCUUGAUCUUAGGUAUGUGAGUUCGAGUCCCACAUUGGGUA